CCUACGGGAGGCUGCAGUGGGGAAUAUUGGACAAUGGGCGAAAGCCUGAUCCAGCCAUGCCGCGUGUGUGAAGAAGGCCUUCGGGUUGUAAAGCACUUUCAGUGGGGAAGAAAGCCUUGGGGCUAAUACCCUCGAGGAAGGACAUCACCCACAGAAGAAGCACCGGCUAACUCCGUGCCAGCAGCCGCGGUAAUACGGAGGGUGCGAGCGUUAAUCGGAAUUACUGGGCGUAAAGCGCGCGUAGGCGGUCUGAUAAGCCGGUUGUGAAAGCCCCGGGCUCAACCUGGGAACGGCAUCCGGAGCUGGGAAGAUAGAGGAGUGUAGAGGAGGGUGGAAUGCGAGGUGUAGUGGAGAAAUGAGUAGAGAGCGGGAGGAAGGCCGGGUAAGAAGGCGGCCCAAUGGACAAAAACUGACGCUGAGGUGCGAAAGAGUGGCGAGCAAACAGGAUUAGAGACCCGGGUAGUC
rnacentral:rRNA from 1 species